rnacentral:rRNA from 1 species
AUUGAACGCUGGCGGCAUGCCUUACACAUGCAAGUCGAACGGUAACAGGUCUUCGGAUGCUGACGAGUGGCGAACGGGUGAGUAAUACAUCGGAACGUGCCUAGUAGUGGGGGUUAACUACUCGAAAGAGUGGCUAAUACCGCAUGAGAUCUACGGAUGAAAGCAGGGGAUCGCAAGACCUUGUGCUACUAGAGCGGCCGAGGGCAGAUUAGGUAGUUGGUGGGAUAAAAGCUUACCAAGCCGACGAUCUGUAGCUGGUCUGAGAGGACGAUCAGCCACACUGGGACUGAGACACGGCCCAGACUCCUACGGGAGGCAGCAGUGGGGAAUUUUGGACAAUGGGCGAAAGCCUGAUCCAGCAAUGCCGCGUGCAGGAUGAAGGCCUUCGGGUUGUAAACUGCUCUUGUACGGAACGAAAAGCCCCGGGUUAAUACCCUGGGGUCGUGACGGUACCGUAAGAAUAAGCACCGGCUAACUACGUGCCAGCCGCCGCCGUAA